ACGCUGGCGGCAGGCCUAACACAUGCAAGUCGAGCGGUAGAGAGAAGCUUGCUUCUCUUGAGAGCGGCGGACGGGUGAGUAAUGCCUAGGAAUCUGCCUGGUAGUGGGGGAUAACGUCCGGAAACGGACGCUAAUACCGCAUACGCCCUACGGGAGAAAGCAGGGGACCUUCGGGCCUUGCGCUAUCAGAUGAGCCUAGGUCGGAUUAGCUAGUUGGUGGGGUAAUGGCUCACCAAGGCGACGAUCCGUAACUGGUCUGAGAGGAUGAUCAGUCACACUGGAACUGAGACACGGUCCAGACUCCUACGGGAGGCAGCAGUGGGGAAUAUUGGACAAUGGGCGAAAGCCUGAUCCAGCCAUGCCGCGUGUGUGAAGAAGGUCUUCGGAUUGUAAAGCACUUUAAGUUGGGAGGAAGGGCAGUAAAUUAAUACUUUGCUGUUUUGACGUUACCGACAGAAUAAGCACCGGCUAACUCUGUGCCAGCAGCCGCGGUAAUACAGAGGGUGCAAGCGUUAAUCGGAAUUACUGGGCGUAAAGCGCGCGUAGGCGGGUUCGUUAAGUUGGAUGUGAAAUCCCCGGGCUCAACCUGGGAACUGCAUUCAAAACUGACGAGCUAGAGUAUGGUAGAGGGUGGUGGAAUUUCCUGUGUAGCGGUGAAAUGCGUAGAUAUAGGAAGGAACACCAGUGGCGAAGGCGACCACCUGGACUGAUACUGACGCUGAGGUGCGAAAGCGUGGGGAGCAAAC
rnacentral:rRNA from 1 species